CCAACGUGGGUAAUCCUGGGAGGUCACUCUCCCCCGUCUCUGUCCAAGGGGUAUUGGGGAGCAUACGGCUCUGUCCCAUGGUAUAUGGUUCCUUUUCCACGAUGUUGGAGAUGAAGCCGGGCCUCAAGUCUGCACCUGCAUAUUCCUACAACUUCUCAGACUGAGGAGACAAACCAUGCAGAAAACAGCC